UAGAUCAGAUCCCAGACUGGAUCCCAGUUAAACAAGCAAAAGCAUAACAAGCAAAAGUAAAAGCAUUAAAUUAUUAUGACAAAAGUAAAGGCAAAAGUAAAAGCAUUAAAUUUUAUAAUAUUUUAUUUAAUUUUAUUUAUCAUUAUUAUUUUUUAAUAGUUUUUUUUUUUCUUACUCCCUCCCCACCAACCACUGCCCCC
rnacentral:lncRNA from 1 species